ensembl:lncRNA novel transcript, antisense to MRGPRF
UGGCUGCAAGUUAUAAAAUGUUUAUUGAUAUACAUUUUGUCUUUUAUAAAACUUCCGUUGGCCACAUUGGGCCACUGUGCACCACAGUGCCAGUCCCCAGGUGGCCAGGGCGGAGCCAGUGUCCACUUUCGGGUGGGGGCUGGAGCCAAGAGGCUGUCCAGGAGCUGCCCAGUGGGUCCUCAUGGCCUGCGGGAUACCUCAAGUGCUCCCGGAGGCAGCCUAGGACUGGCUCGUCCCGGAGUCAGAAAAGGCAGCCUAGGGCAAGGAGGGGCCCCACCACCUGGGGGCAACUUCUGUACAAGAGGUCUCUAGGGGAGCAGAAUGGGUGGGGGAGCCGGGCAGGGGCCACAGGGUCUGUUUGCUGGU